GUGGCAAUCCUACCUGAAUGUUGUAGGAGAUUUGCUGGGCAUUUCCAUCAUUCAUAGCAUAAAGGUUAGCCCACUCUUGAGGCAGUAGCAAGAGAAGGUAAAUCUUCCCACACACUAUGGCAGAUGUCAGUACACUUUAGAGAUGCUGGAAAGGAUUUCGGAGAAGCAGAGGGCAAUUUAUAGACUGGUGUUGGAGCAGUACACUGGUAU